GAUGAAGAACGUAGCGAAAUGCGAUAAGUAAUGUGAAUUGCAGAAUUCAGUGAAUCAUCGAAUCUUUGAACGCACAUUGCGCCCCCUGGCAUUCCGGGGGGCAUGCCUGUUCGAGCGUCAUUACAACCCUCAAGCUCUGCUUCGUAUUGGGCUCUGCCGGUCCCGGCAGGCCUUAAAAUCAGUGGCGGCGCCACUCGGCUUCAAGCGUAGUAAUUCUUCUCGCUUCGGAGACCCGGGUGCGUGCUAGCCAGCAACCCCCAACUUUCUCAGGUUGACCUCGGAUCAGGUAGGGAUACCCGCUGAACUUAAGCAUAUCAAUAAGCGGAGGA
rnacentral:misc_RNA from 1 species